UACAGAGGGUGCGAGCGUUAAUCGGAAUUACUGGGCGUAAAGCGCACGUAGUCGGCUUUGCAAGUCGGAUGUGAAAUCCCCGGGCUCAACCUGGGAAUUGCAUUCGAUACUGGAUAGCUAGAGUUCGGCAGAGGGAAGCGGAAUUUCUGGUGUAGCGGUGAAAUGCGUAGAUAUCAGAAGGAACAUCAGUGGCGAAAGCGGCUUCCUGGACCAGAACUGACGAUCAGGCUCGAAAGCGUGGGGAGCAAACAGG
rnacentral:rRNA from 1 species